UACGAAGGGGGCUAGCGUUGCUCGGAUUGACUGGGCGUAAAGGGCGCGUAGGCGGUGCGGUAAGUCACCUGUGAAAACUCUGGGCUCAACUCAGAGCCUGCAGGCGAAACUGCCGUGCUUGAGUGUGGGAGAGGUGCGUGGAAUUCCCGGUGUAGCGGUGAAAUUCGUAGAUAUCGGGAGGAACACCAGUGGCGAAGGCGGCGAUCUGGGUCGAUACUGACGCUGAGGUGCGAAAGCGUGGGGAGCAAACAGG
rnacentral:rRNA from 1 species